rnacentral:rRNA from 1 species
ACGGAAAAAGAACUAACAAGGAUUCCCCUAGUAACUGCGAGUGAAGCGGGAAAAGCUCAAAUUUAAAAUCUGGCGGUCUUUGGCCGUCCGAGUUGUAAUCUAGAGAAGUGUUAUCCGCGCUGGACCGUGUACAAGUCUCCUGGAAUGGAGCGUCAUAGAGGGUGAGAAUCCCGUCUUUGACACGGACUGCCAGUGCUUUGUGAUGCGCUCUCAAAGAGUCGAGUUGUUUGGGAAUGCAGCUCAAAAUGGGUGGUAAAUUCCAUCUAAAGCUAAAUAUUGGCGAGAGACCGAUAGCGAACAAGUACCGUGAGGGAAAGAUGAAAAGAACUUUGGAAAGAGAGUUAAACAGUACGUGAAAUUGUUGAAAGGGAAACGCUUGAAGUCAGUCGCGUUGUCCGGGGAUCAACCUUGCUUUUGCUGGGUGUACUUUCCGGUUGACGGGUCAGCAUCAAUUUUGACCGUUGGAUAAAGUCUAGGGGAAUGUGGCAUCUUCGGAUGUGUUAUAGCCCUUGGUCGUAUACAACGGUUGGGAUUGAGGAACUCAGCACGCCGCAAGGCCGGGAAUUCGUUCCACGUUCGUGCUUAGGAUGCUGGCAUAAUGGCUUUAAUCGACCCGUCUUGAAACACGGACCAAGGAGUCUAACAUGCCUGCGAGUGUUUGGGUGGAAAACCCGAGCGCGUAAUGAAAGUGAAAGUUGAGAUCCCUGUCGCGGGGAGCAUCGACGCCCGGACCAGACCUUUUGUGACGGAUCCGCGGUAGAGCAUGUAUGUUGGGACCCGAAAGAUGGUGAACUAUGCCUGAAUAGGGUGAAGCCAGAGGAAACUCUGGUGGAGGCUCGUAGCGAUUCUGACGUGCAAAUCGAUCGUCAAAUUUGGGUAUAGGGGCGAAAGACUAAUCGAACCAUCUAGUAGCUGGUUCCUGCCGAGUUUUCUCUCCCGGAAAA